GUCAUCACUUUUGACUUCUGCAGGCUUUUUUUUUUUUGGGUUUCGGCUCGUCCUUUUAUUCAGCACUCUGGCGUUUCGUUUUGGGAUCAUAUUGAAAACACCACGUUUCGUCACCAGUCACAAUCUUGUAAAGGAAGUUCGGGUAUUCUUUUUGCCUCUUUAAUGAUGUCCUACGAAUGUUGAAUUCUGAGAAAUUUUUGGACGUCAGAUAAUUUGUGCGGAAUAAACCGUGCACACACCUUUUGUAAGCCCAAAUGUUCGGUCAAAAUGCGAUAAACCGAUGUUUUGGAGAUGUUUAAUUCUAUUUCCCUGAAUUUCAAUGAUGAUUUUCCCUGAUUUUUUAUGAAUUGACGCACAGUUUCGAUGGAAUUUUCGGUGAUCACGGAUUAUGGUUGACCCACAGGUUCAUCGUCAUUUAUGUCCUCACGACCACUUUGAAAACGUUGAAACCACUCGUGCACUCUGCUACGGGAUAGGCAAUCAUCGACAUAAACUUGUUUCAUCAAUUGAAACGUUUCGGUAAAAGUUUUAUCAAUUUUAAAACAAAAUUUAAUGUUGGCUCUUUGUUCGAAGCUUAUUAACUUUUACUAGAAGUCGAUAAACGAUAGCAAAUUCUAAGGCCCCAGUUGACAUAAAGAUGGCGCCGCUAGAGGGAGCUAGAUUAAAAAUUCCUGUUUACUUUGGAACUCACCUUGUAUUUUGUCAACAGUAUGCUAUUCUACAAUAGUACUAAUUGCUCAUGUGCAUAACAGGAAAAAACAAAGGACAUUUGUGGCCUACACGUUGAGGUGCUGCUUAUUGGGGACUCUGCUUAUCGAUUUUCCCAAACGCUGAUAAAGCCGUACCCAUUUUUCAAAAUUGCAUCCGAGGAACACCGAAAUUUUUACUACAAUCUGAACAAAGCUCGGCGAGUUGUAGAAAAUGCAUUUGGCCAUUUAAAGGCAAGCUUUCGUUUCAUCGGGAAAGGUCUGGACAGCCAUUACAAAAAUAGUACUGCAGUCAUUCUAGCCUGAUGCAUUUUGCACAUUUUAAAUGAGCACAACAGCGCUAUUAAUGAUAAUUGGCAACAGACUGCACGUGACUUACGCAAACAACCAUAUCGGACUAUUAUGUCUGCAAAUUUUAACCAGCCUGCAGAAAAAAUAAGAGUAGGGGGCGCAGUACUGCCAGAGCUUUGACUUCCGCUGCAGAUGGAGGAUUCUGUCUCAUCGAGGUCCACAUUAAAGAGCUCCACCAAUAACUCCCUAGUAUCUGCAAUAAAUAUAUUUUAUAUGAGUCUUGGAAAUACUCUCGUUGUCCACGGUGUUCUGCUCUCUCGUAGUUCUGCCAUAUGGAAGGAGCCCCACCGCUUGGCCCAAUUUCAUUUUUUCCUGCCUGCAAGCAAUAAUAUCAUGAAGUUUUCUAUUUUUGUCCCGCUUCCAUUAAGGACUGGAGGAUCUCCACGUACGUCAACCAAAUCGCUUAACUAGGCAGCUUAUGGCUUUCAUAAACAAAAUUUUCAAACUAUGCAUUUUCCAUUGGCUUUGAGGUCCGAACUUGGUUCCCCAGCUAAGUUAAAUCAAUCAAAAUUAAAGUAAACAUCAGCUUCUGUUGGAAGCGCAAUUAAUUGCGCCUUUUCAAACUCUA